AAGAGAGAUGCUGAUGAAGAGUAAGCUAAUUAUAUCAGGUGGACACUUGAGAUUGUGUUGGCAUCUCCUGUCUGGAGGGGGGAUGGGAGGAUAGAGAGAGAGGGAAGCUGGCAAAAUUGUCACGAAAGGAGAGACUGAAAGGGCUGACUCAAUAGGAGGAGAGCAAGUGGGAGUACGGAGUAAGAUGUAUGUAAACUUAUAUGUGACAGACUGAUUGGAUUUGUAAACGUUCACUUGAAGCUUAAUAAAAGUUAAUAAAAAAAAACCGACUACGAAAAGAUCAUGUUAUGGAAAAAAGUGUUUCGAAGAAUAAAGCAAUUGUAUUUAGAUAUGUUUUAAAGGAAUCAAGGAUUAAGUGACUCUCAAUUUAAUAAAUAUUUAUAAGAUCUUACUUUCAUAAUCCCCUUCAGAUAAACGGGGAAAUAAUGGCCUGUUUUUUCUGUAGCCAAUACUAAUUUAGAGGACAAAUUUAAAUACCUUAUUAAUUCCAUUUUCUAUUUAAAGACCAAAAGGUUAGUGUCUGUUACAGGGUUUAUAUUUAGAAUCUUAGUAUUUGGUGGUGAGGGUGGUAGUGGUGAUGUGGUCUUUUUUAUUUUUUUAAUGUGCUGUAUUUGUUCGGAGUGCAAAAUGGACAUGGCCCUUUAAAUUAUCUUACCCACAAAUCUCCUCUAUUUAAAAAAAUUCAAAUUUCACAUUAAUUCAAGAUACAGGUGAAACCUGAACCGCAAAUAUGAAUUGCUUACUCACAUCUUCACUUGUGGAUAGCAAGUACGAAGCCUUUUGGGUAACAAGGGCAGAUACAAUAAAUACCCCGAAGAGUCAUAUUGUGUUCCAGCUCACGUGCAUCUAACUGCCUGCUGAGACUUACCUCUUCUGUUUGGACCAGACUCUGUUGCCAGCAGAAACUCCACCGCACUGACACAGAGAUGAAUAAAGGUAUGAAGCACCUCCCUUCCAAGAAGCAGAUGCAAAAAAAAACUCCAGAUACAAAAGAGCAGAUAGUUUAUUCAGAACUGAAGAUAGAUACAUCAAACUCCAAUCAGGCCAAGAUAAGAAGAAAUAGAUCCUCUAAAGAAAAAGGUAACCUUUAUAUUUAAGAACAACAUUCCCUUAUUUUCUAGUUCCUUAGGAAAAAAAAAAAAAAUUU